UACAGAGGUCUCAAGCGUUGUUCGGAUUCAUUGGGCGUAAAGGGUGCGUAGGCGGCGCGGUAAGUCGGGUGUGAAAUCUUGGAGCUUAACUCCGAAACUGCAUUCGAUACUGCCGUGCUUGAGGACUGGAGAGGAGACUGGAAUUUACGGUGUAGCGGUGAAAUGCGUAGAUAUCGGGAGGAACACCUGUGGCGAAAGCGGCGCACUGGACCACAACUGACGCUGAGGCGCGAAAGCUAGGGGAGCAAACGGG
rnacentral:rRNA from 1 species